UACGAGGGGGGCAAGCGUUGUUCGGAAUUAUUGGGCGUAAAGGGUGCGUAGGCUGUGCGGUAAGUCACCUGUGAAAACUCUGGGCUCAACCCAGAGCCUGCAGGCGAAACUGCCGUGCUGGAGUAUGGGAGAGGUGCGUGGAAUUCCCGGUGUAGCGGUGAAAUGCGUAGAUAUUGGGAAGAACACCGGUGGCGAAGGCGGCUCACUGGCUCGUAACUGACGCUCAGGCGCGACAGCGUGGGGAUCAAACAGG
rnacentral:rRNA from 1 species